rnacentral:RNase_P_RNA from 2 species
GGAGUCGGCCAGGCAAUCGCGGUUCUAUUUUAUAUAGAGCGGAGGAAAGUCCGGGCUCCACAGGGUAAGGUGCCAGGUAACGCCUGGGGGACGUGAGUCCACGGAAAGUGCCACAGAAAAUAUACCGCCAACUCGCUUGCGGGUCGGUAAGGGUGAAAUGGUGCGGUAAGAGCGCACCGCGCGUCUGGCAACAGGCGUGGCAGGGUAAACCCCACCUGGAGCAAGACCAAAUAGGGGAGCAGCAUCGGUUUGCGCUGGAUGCACGUAUGGCCCAUACGGUUCCCGGGUAGGUCGCUUGAGGCCCGCGGUGACGCGUGUCCAGAUGAAUGAUUGCCCACGACAGAACCCGGCUUAUCGGCCGACUCCCUUU